GAAAACAUCCUCUCACUUUGUGACCGGAAGUUGAACUCCGGGGCAGCCAGACCACAAGCGGCUUAUUGAAAGGCAAGGCGGAGGUGCACCGCUUGGCUGGGAUCCCGGAGCGCUAGAUGUUGUGCGUCCCCGGCCUUGGGCUCGUAAAUCCUGAGCUGGCGGUGAUUUGAAAGGCUGGGAUCUACUGGAGAUGUCUGGAUGACUACACUGAACAAAUUCCAGUCUCCCUCCGUUUUGGCUGAGAAACAAUGCUUCCCACCGACUGAUGAAAACGUUCGCCCUGCCACUGGCGUCUGUACAGUUGUGGAUAUUGGCCUGCGCAGGAAAAAAAAAAAAAGAGUGGCCCCUUUGGGCCAAUAAUAAUAAAUUAGCUUGUGCUUGAAUUAGCCAAGUCUUUGCGGUUUUGUUAACUUGGCCUCACUUUUCUUGGAGUAGGAAGUGCCCAUUCCUAAAAAAGUGACUUUUCUAAUUUGAACUGACACCUCAUAAGGCCGUGCAAUUAUCAAAGAGGACAGAGUAGCCCGGAAUAUUUUUGGUGACAAUGGAUUUGGGUCUUCUUCAAACCUGUUUCAGACAAGGUCCUUUUUCCCCUUAAAAAAAA